CCCACACACCCCUCACAUACAUCCACGCUCCCUUAACACACACACACUACAUACACUCCCCCUACAUACACUCCCCUCACACACCCACAGUCCCCUCACAUACAUCCACACUCCCCUCACACAUACACACAUUACACACACUCCCCUCACACACAUCCACACUCCCCUCACACACAUCCACACUCCCCUCACACACACACCACACACAUUACAUACACUCUCCCUACACACACUCCCCUCACACACACCACACACAUAUUACACACACUUUCCUCACAUACACACUCCCCUUACACACUACACACACACACUUCCCCUACACACACCCCCACACUACACACACUCCCCUCACAUAUACAUACACUACACACUCCCCUCAGGCACACACACUACACACCACCCACACUCCCACACACACUACACACCACCCACACUCCCACACACACACCUAUCACCCACACUCCCUCCCACACACACACCACACACUCCCUUCACACACUACACACUCCCCUCACACAUUCCACACACACACCCCACACAUUACACACACUCGCCUCAUGCACACACCCCACACACUACACAUAGUCCCCUCAUACACUACACACCACACUCCUUGACACACACACACUCUCCCUACACACACAUCCACACACCCAUACCCCUCAGCACACACACACGCCCCCAUACACCUACAUACACCACACACAUUCAUUCACCACACAUACACACUCACCCCACACCCCAUACAUACAUA
rnacentral:lncRNA from 10 species